AUACGUAGGUGGCAAGCGUUGUCCGGAAUUAUUGGGCGUAAAGGAUGCGUAGGCGGCCUUUUAAGUGGGAUGUGAAAUACCCGGGCUUAACCUGGGAAUGGCAUUCCAAACUGGAAGGCUAGAGUGCAGGAGAGGAAAGUGGAAUUCCCAGUGUAGCGGUGAAAUGCGUAGAGAUUGGGAGGAACACCAGUGGCGAAGGCGACUUUCUGGACUGUAACUGACGCUGAGGCAUGAAAGCGUGGGGAGCAAACAGGAUUAGAUACCCUGGUAGUCCACGCCGUAAACGAUGAGUACUAGGUGUAGGGGAGCCAUUCUCUGUGCCGCAGUUAACACAUUAAGUACUCCGCCUGGGAAGUACGGUCGCAAGACUAAAACUCAAAUGAAUUGGCGGGG
rnacentral:rRNA from 1 species